rnacentral:rRNA from 1 species
GUCUACGGCCAUACCACCCUGAAUGCACCUAAUCUUGUCUGAUCUUGGAAGCUAAGUAGGGUCGGGCCUGGUUAGUACUUGGAUGGGAGACCACUUGGGAAUACCAGGUACUGUAGGCU